GACGAACGCUGGCGGCGUGCUUAACACAUGCAAGUCGAACGGAAAGGCCCUGCUCUUGUGGGGUGCUCGAGUGGCGAACGGGUGAGUAACACGUGUGUAAACUGCCCUUGACAUUGGGAUAACUCCAGGAAACUGGGGCUAAAACCGGAUAGGACCUCCUGCGGCAUGGUGGGGGUUGGAAAGUUUCGGCGGUUGGGGAUGGACUCGCGGCUUAUCAGCUUGUUGGUGAGGUAGUGGCUUACCAAGGCUUUGACGGGUAGCCGGCCUGAGAGGGUGACCGGCCACAGUGGGCCUGAGGUAGGGCCCAGACGCCAACGGGAGGCAGCGGUGGGGAAUAUUGCGCAAUGGGCGGAAGCCGGAUACAGCAUCGCCGCGUGCGGGAUGACGGCUUUCGGGUUGUAAACCGCUUUCGCCUGGAACGAAGCGUGAGUGACGGUAAUGUGUCAAGAAGCACCGGCUAACUACGUG
rnacentral:rRNA from 1 species